UUUAAAAAUAUAAUACACAAAAUGUAUUAAAAACACAAAUAAAUAUAAUAAAUAUUUUAUUAUGUUAAAUAUAAUUUUAUAUUUUGGGUUGAGUUAUUUAGUUGGAUAAAUUAUUUUCUUAGGUUUUAGGUAAUCAGUUUAAUUGGUAUCGGGUUAGUGAUUUAGUAUAAAUAUAAAUAUAUAUAAUGAUAUUAUUUAACAUAUAUAAUUACUAUAAUUAUUUUAUAACAUGAUAUAUUCAGGUCAGACCGAGCUCAAGCAAAAAUAAUAUUACCCAAAAUUCAACCCAUAUCGAAAGUGAGCCUUAAAUUUUACUCAACUCUAUUUUUUGAGCCUUAUAUUUUUAUCUAAAUCUUUUCAUUUUUUAAGCGGGCUUUCGAGCCUAAAUGAUCAACCCAAUCUAUAAAUAGGUCUACUUUUAACACCUAUAACAACUUACUAAAAUAUUAUUUUAAAAAAUGAUAGCACAACUAAAAGGGUAUAUUUAUACUAUAUUGAGAUAUUUAUAUAAUAUUUUACUAUUUUUAUAUGUAUGAUAUUAUCUAGCUAAACUUAAAAUAGAACAGGCCAGCUUGGGCAAUACUUGGUUGUAUUUAUGGCUUUGGGUUAACUUGGGCUCAACUUCGAGCCCUAAUUCAGAUCCCCUUCAAUUUUUUUUUAGGAUUAUGGGUUGAAUUAUCAAUUUUUAUCUUGAUUUUUUAUCAAAUGUUUGUCCCAUUUCUAAUUAUACAUUAUCCAUGGAAUUAUUGGUUUUCGGUUAAGUGGAUCUAGACCUAAUCAUAAAUCAGAUCAUCUGACUCGACCUGAGUGUUUGCCCAAAAUUAAGAGGGUAUAGAUAAAAAUAUAGGCCCAAAAAUAGAGUUGGAUAAAAAAAUAAGCCUUAUUUAGAAAAUGGGUUGGGCCUCGUGUAAGUUUUUUUUCCCGAACUUGAUAUGAAUUUGCAAAAAGAAAAAAAAUCAUGUUGUUUUGCCACUAUUUUCAUACUUUUUUGCUACUUUUUUGUUGUUAUUAUUUAGAUAUUGUAUAACUCUUAUUUUAUUGUUAAUUUUGCUAUUAUUUUAUAGGCAUUUGCUUGUUAAGUUGCACCUAUAUUAAUGUUAUUUAAGUAUAAUUUUUUUAUUUUUUAAAUAUUUUUAGUGUAUUUAAUGUAUUAUGUUUUUAAAUUUAUUUUUAUAUAAAAAAAUAUAAUUGUUUUUAAUAUGGGUGGGUCGGGCCGAACCCAAACUUAAAAAAUGAACUUAAAUUUUUGCUUUGACUCGAUCUAUUUAAAUUCAUUUUUAUCUUGACCGAACUUGGAGCAAAAAUUUAAAUCCAUUUUUUAAACUAGGCCAAACUCAAACUUAAAAAACGAACUUAGGUUUCUGCAUUGACCCGAUCCGGCCAUGAUCAGCUCCAAAUGAAUCUUAUCCAACUAUAGGUUAGGUUCAAAGUUUAGAUUGUGAAAAAAAGAAGCUUAAUGAUAAAUUUGGUCACUAAUGUUUGUAUGUUUUGUCAAAAUGACCCUAAUUGUAUUUUUGAGCAUUUUUUGGUCAUUAUCUUUUUUAAUCUACUUUUUCUAAUAAAUGUAAUAAAUAAAUUCAAGGUUAUAAUUUUUUCUUUCAAAAUGUUUCAAUCUUUCAUACGUUUGUUUACCGAGAAGUUUUUCUACUGAGUUAACUUUUUUAGAUAAUUACGUCUAUUUUCUUUAAAUUAAGAGUUUUUAUAUUUAUUGUAUUAUUUAUUUUUAUUAUGUUCCACAUGUAAUUAUCUUAUUAGGUUAUCUAAGUAAUAAAUUACAUCUCAUUAAAAAUAUUUCAUGUAUGAAAUUCCACAUCAUCCUCGUUAACCUUUUUUAGCGGCACUUUCAUUAAAUUUGUUAGAAAAAGCAGAUUGAAAAAAAGAACAAAGGUUGAUGGCCAAAAAAGACUAAAAAAUACAAUUAAGGUCAUUUUGACAAAACAUGCAAACGUUAGUGGACAAUUUUGUUAUUAAGCAUAUAUUUUAACCUAACAAAAAUUAUAUUUUAGUUAAAAUUUGAAAUAAGUUGUUGUACUUUUGAAAAUUUGGAAUUAAGUUCAUAUACUUUCAUUUUUAGGAAUUUAGUACACCUACUUUUCAGAUUUUAGAUUUCAAAAUUCAAAUCUAACACCUUGUUUGGUUGGGUGUAAUGGAUUAGCCAUUACACCCGAAUCGGUGGCCCCACUGAAUAUAACGUUUGCUUCGCUGUAUUGCCCUAAUACGGGCCUAAUCCGUUGCGGACGGAUUCCGCAUUUUGGCUGCUUCACCACCGAUUUCUAAUCCCUUGCAAAAGCAAAGAUUAGGUAAUCGGUGUCUCAUUUACCCUUCCCUUGCAAAAGCAAAGAUUAGGUAAUCGAUGUCUCAUUUACCCUCCCCUUGCCGAAAUCGACUCCAGUCGACCCUCUCCCUCCCAGCGAACCAAACCUCUAGCCGAUCCCGAUUUCAACUUUGCAUCUUUCUCCGACUCGACGGCGUCAGAUCUCCGGACGACUUGAAUCAGUUCUUUGCUCCAGCAGUUCUUCAUCGGUCUCCUCUCCGAUUUCUUCAUUACAGUAAUGGCUCGUCUGCCUUUAAUUGCACAACGUGAGAGGCGUAAAAGAAUUGGUAUUGCAUUGACAAUAUGGUUGGAAAUCUGUAGAAUUGCGAUUUGGUUCUUAUUUAGAAUGGGUGCCAGCCUUAGCCUACAGACUUAUUGACCAAGGAUUAGGUCCUAUACUUUAGAUUUUUAUGCAAAACAGGAUUAUGUAAAAAGGCUUGUAUAUGCUAGUGACGAGACUUGUAUUGAACAAGUUAGGAUGAAUAGAACUGCCUUUUUUAAACUAUGUGAGAUGUUAGAAUCGAUAGGGGGAUUGAAGUCGUCUAGAAACAUGCUUGUUGAUGAGCAAGUAGCAAUGUUUUUACAUAUCAUCUCCUAUCACCUGAAAAAUCGAGUUAUCAAGCAUCACUUUAGAAGGUCCGGGGAAACUGUUAGCAGAGCAUUUCAUAGUGUUUUAAAUGCUGUCAUACGCUUACAAGAUGUGUUAUUUAAAAAGCCGGAGCCAAUUACAACCGAUUCUUCUGACAGAAGGUGGAAAUGGUUUAAGAAUUGCUUAGGUGCUCUUGAUGGAACCCACAUCAAGAUUAGGGUGCCAAAAGUUGAUAAACCUAGAUAUCGAAAGCGAAAAGGUGACAUAGCAACAAAUAUGCUAGGUGUUUGUACACCUGAGAUGCAAUUUGUUUAUGUUCUUCCUGGUUGGGAAGGUUCAGUUGCCGAUGGACGGGUUCUUCGAGAUGCCAUUAGUAGAAGACAUGGACUAAUUGUUCCUUAUGGUUGUUAUUAACGAGUGGCAUCAGGGUUAUCAGCCAAGUUCUCCGCAAGAGUUUUUUAAUAUGAAACAUGCCUCAGCACGUAAUGUUAUUGAGAGAUGCUUCGGGUUAUUAAAACUUAGAUGGGGAAUACUUAGGAGUCUAUCGUUCUAUCCUGUAAGGGUGCACAAUAGAAUUAUUAUUGCAUGUUGUUUGCUCCACAAUUUUAUUCGAACCCAUAUGAGUAUUGAUCCCAUUGAAGCGGAGGUGGGAGAAAGAUUACCUAGUAAUGUGGUGGAUGACGAUGAACCGAAUAUCACAAAUAUUCAUCCAUCGGAUGCUUGGGCUACUUAGAGGAUGGAACUAGCCAACCAAAUGUUCGAUGAAUGGCAAGCAUCUAGAAAUUAGUUUGUGAAACUUUUGUAUUGAUUUUUGUAUUGUACCAAACUUUUUGAAUUAUAAUUUAAUUUCUUCUCAUUCA